rnacentral:rRNA from 1 species
GAUGAACGCUGGCGGCGUGCCUAAUACAUGCAAGUCGAGCGAAUGGAUUGAGAGCUUGCUCUUAUGAAGUUAGCGGCGGACGGGUGAGUAACACGUGGGUAACCUGCCCAUAAGACUAGGAUAACUCCGGGAAACCGGGGCUAAUACCGGAUAACAUUUUGAACCGCAUGGUUCGAAAUUGAAAGGCGGCUUCGGCUGUCACUUAUGGAUGGACCCGCGUCGCAUUAGCUAGUUGGUGAGGUAACGGCUCACCAAGGCAACGAUGCGUAGCCGACCUGAGAGGGUGAUCGGCCACACUGGGACUGAGACACGGCCCAGACUCCUACGGGAGGCAGCAGUAGGGAAUCUUCCGCAAUGGACGAAAGUCUGACGGAGCAACGCCGCGUGAGUGAUGAAGGCUUUCGGGUCGUAAAACUCUGUUGUUAGGGAAGAACAAGUGCUAGUUGAAUAAGCUGGCACCUUGACGGUACCUAACCAGAAAGCCACGGCUAACUACGUGCCAGCCGCCGCAGUAAGAC